rnacentral:rRNA from 1 species
GAUCAUGGCUCAGAACGAACGCUGGCGGCGCGUUUAAGCAUGCAAGUCGAGCGGCAAGGGCCUUCGGGCCCCUAGAGCGGCGGACGGGUGAGUAACACGUGGACAAUCUGCCCCCCGGCCCGGGAUAGCCCAGGGAAACCUGGAUUAAUACCGGAUGAGACGGGACCCGCGAUGGCGGGAUCCGGGAAAGGCGCUGCGGCGCCGCCGGGGGAUGAGUCUGCGUCCCAUUAGCUAGACGGCGGGGUAACGGCCCACCGUGGCGACGAUGGGUAGCCGGCCUGAGAGGGUGGACGGCCACAUUGGAACUGAGACACGGUCCAGACUCCUACGGGAGGCAGCAGCUAAGAAUCUUCCGCAAUGGGCGAAAGCCUGACGGAGCCGACGCCGCGUGAACGAAGAAGGCCGUGAGGUUGUAAAGUUCUUUUCGGGAGGGGGAACAACCGUGGCAGGGAAUGGCCGCGGGAUGACGUGAAUCCCGGAAUAAGCCCCGGCUAACUACGUGCCAGCCGCAGC